UUGAUUGGGCCAUACAUAAACAGAUCAGACCACGUCAUCCCCACGUGUCUCUUCUUUGAGACUUUCUUGCCUCGAUUCACCUGCAUAUCCAAAGAAUAUUGAAAAGGGGAGAGACAUGGAGAUGCCUGAGCGGUUACUACUUCGCCGAUAUCGGUGAACGGCGUCUUUUACUCCUGAUUCCAAGUCAUCCGGUAUCUCGUAGCUCAUCUCCAUUGUAGAUCGUCUUCAUAGAAACUUUCGCCGAUCGACUCUAAUGUAUGUUGAUUUUGAUAGAUUCGCCUUUAGGGUGUUGCUGCGCAACCAAAACCGACGCCAAUCAGGUGUAAUCAUAUCGGUUUCUAUCAAUAAUAGGUUUACCAGAUUGUAUCUGACUUAAUUUGAUUUGUGAUUGUUUUGGUAGAUUAGACGGUGGAUGAACGGGUUGGAUUCCGUUAGGGGAUAAUAAGUGACGGUGUGUUUGUGGAGGAUUCGAUGUUGUGUUGAACGGUGUACCAUGUUCAUAAUUCGGGGAUGUCUCUACUCAGCAAGAUAUAGAUGUGCCAUUUUGGGGGAAAAUUAGAUGGAUGUAGAUAUUGACGACUAUGAAAAUAAACAAGCCGAGUGGUCCAUUUCUAUAGGCAUUAUACUGUUGGUAACCUUUUUUAGGAGCGCCACAAAGGGCCAUGGAUGAAUACCAGGCACAAAUCGCAACUUUGGUGAAAGAAGACGAGUAUUCGAAGAUUAGCUGUCGACUUUUACAUAUAUUUCAUAUAGUUUAUAAACUUCAUAUAAAAUCAUAUUUUUAUUGACCGAUGGGGGUAAUUUUUUUUUUUUGUUAUAAAUGAUAUGAGUCUACUUCAUUUAAGUUUUAAACGUAAAUAAAGAAUAUAAAUUUUAUUAUGGUCAAAGUUGUGUUAUACAAUAUGCUAUAUUUGUUGGAUGAAAUGUGGCAGGGAUGAUAUCGGUAUGGUAUUGAUGUCGAACCUCAAAAAAUCAUUUUGGGAUACCAUUGUUAGUCACAACACUUUCUUUAAAACACUCAAGAUAAAUGUUAUAAGACUAAGAUUCUUUUCUAUGGUUCCGCAGAUUCGUACUUCUUUUUAUAAAAGGGAGGACGAGGAACCAAUUGACGAAAAAAAUUAGUUUGAAGAAUUAUGGAAGCCCAGGUGUGUUAGAGCUUGGCAUGAGUCUCAGAGGAUAAACAUGAGAAAGGUAAACCGAUCAAAAGAUUUGGAGUUGCUGAUUCUGUUUAAAGAAGUGAUGAAAAUGGAUCUUUUAUCACACUUAUUGUGUCCAAUUAAAGAACUGGAAAUUGAUCAUCACAGAUAACAAACAUUUCAAAACACACUUAUUAUGCAUUACCUGCGGAUGAUUAAACUCCCCCAUCCAAGAAAGACAAGAACCAUGGCAGCAGCUAGAACAUCAAACACCCAUUUAUCAACAAGAACCAGGAACCAACAUUUUUCUAACAACUGAUGUAUUGUGAAUGCAAAUAUAACCAGGAACCAACAUUUUUCUAACAACUGAUGUAUUGUGAAUGCAAAUAUAAAACCCCCAUCCCGCUGCCAAGACAAAAAUACCAAACGCUGGUGCAACACACGAUAAGCAGAUCUCCGUGUCCAAGGUUUUGGAAGAUAUAAAAGUUUUGGCAUUUAUGUGCGUCAAAAGCCAAUCAAAGGCUACUGCUCUCUUUGGGAUAUUUGGUGUAGGUUUAGCUUGGAAUGUCUAAAGUGAUAGGGUGCGAUGUAUUUGUUGUUUUCAGGUUUUGUGGUUGUUGGCUUCUCAAGUUUUGAUGCUACUGUGGUAGUUUUCUUUUUUGGUGGAUGUAAUAGUUAGCUUCCUACUAACUCUU
rnacentral:lncRNA from 1 species